UAGAGUUUGAUCCAUGGCUCAGGACGAACGCUGGCGGCGUGCUUAACACAUGCAAGUCGAACGGAAAGGCCCUUCGGGGUACUCGAGUGGCGAACGGGUGAGUAACACGUGGGUGAUCUGCCCUGCACUUUGGGAUAAGCCUGGGAAACUGGGUCUAAUACCGGAUAGGACCACGGCAUUCAUGUGCUGUGGUGGAAAGCUUUUGCGGUGUGGGAUGGGCCCGCGGCCUAUCAGCUUGUUGGUGGGGUAAUGGCCUACCAAGGCGACGACGGGUAGCCGGCCUGAGAGGGUGACCGGCCACACUGGGACUGAGAUACGGCCCAGACUCCUACGGGAGGCAGCAGUGGGGAAUAUUGCACAAUGGGCGCAAGCCUGAUGCAGCGACGCCGCGUGAGGGAUGACGGCCUUCGGGUUGUAAACCUCUUUCGCCAGGGACGAAGCGCAAGUGACGGUACC
rnacentral:rRNA from 1 species